AAGGAGUUUCCACGAGUAGGAGAGACCACGAACUGAGGGCGCAGCCUCAGAGUGAAGCGACAACCCUUUAGAACUGAGAUGAGGAGGAAGUUCUUCAGCCAGAGGGUGACGAUCCUGUGGAACUCGUUGCCACAGAAGAUUGUGGAGGAUCCAAUGAUUAUGCUGGAGUUCCAGUUUCAGCCACCAGGUGGCUCUGAGGAUUGAGUCUUUGGAAGCAUCACCAUUUUGGUCAGAAACCAUCUAACAACUAACUUUGGAGGUUAGCUGCAGAGCUGGUGUGUAUCCUUGCACAGUCUAAGCAGCAAUGCCAAAGGGAUUAUUAAUACCUGCACAUUUGGAACAAAAACUAAAUUGGCCAAGGUGCUGCCAGACCGGCUGAGUUUCUCCAGCAACUUUUUUUUUGUUGUUGCAGAUCCCGAGCAUCCACACAGUUAUUUGUUUUAUAUAAAACUCUUAAGAUUUACAGAGA